GUGUGAGUCCAUCCUGAGUGGCUGUUCUUUUGAGCAGUCGUCGUUUAUCUCCGUCCGCCUUCUCUUCCACCUAAGUGCGUGUCGCCACCCGAUGGAAGAUUCGAUGGACAUGGACAUGAGCCCCCUGAGGCCCCAGAACUAUCUUUUCGGUUGUGAACUAAAGGCCGACAAAGAUGAUCACUUUAAGGUGGAUAAUGAUGAAAAUGAGCACCAGUUAUCUUUAAGAACGGUCAGUUUAGGGGCUGGUGCAAAGGAUGAGUUGCACAUUGUUGAAGCAGAGGCAAUGAAUUACAAAAGCAGUCCAAUUAAAGUAACACUGGCAACUUUGAAAAUGUCUGUACAGCCAACGAUUUCCCUUGGGGGCUUUGAAAUAACACCACAGUGGUCUUAGGAUUGAAGUGUGGUUCAGGGCCAGUGCAUAUCAGUGGACAGCACUUAGUAGCUGUGGAGGAAGAUGCAGAGUCAGAAGACGAGGAGGAGGAGGAUGUGAAACUCUGAAGUAUGUCUGGAAAGCGGUCUGCCCCUGGAGGUGGUAGCAAGGUUCCACAGAAAAAAGUAAAACUUGCUGCUGAUGAAGAUCAUGAUGAAGAAGAUGAUGGUGAUGAUGAUUUCGAUGAUGAAGAAACUGAACAAAAAGUGCCAGUGAAGAAAUCUAUAUGCGAUACUCCAGCCAAAAAUGCACAAAAGUCAAAUCAGAAUGGAAAAGACUCAAAACCAUCAUCAACACCAAGAUCAAAAGGACAAGAAUCCUUCAAAAAACAGAAAAAAACUCUGAAAACACCAAAAGGACCUAGUUCUGUAGAAGACAUUAAAGCAAAAAUGCAAGCAAGUAUAGAAAAAGGUGGUUCUCUUCCCAAAGUGGAAGCCAAGUUCACCAAUUAUGUGAAGAAUUGCUUCCGGAUGACUGACCAGGGGGCUAUUUAAGAUCUCUGGCAGUGGAGGAAGUCUCUUUAAGAAAACAGUUUAAACAAUUUGUUAAAAAUGUUCCGUCUUAUUUCAUUUCAGUAACAGUUGCUAUCUGGCUGUCCUUUUUAUAAUGCAGAGUGAGAAUUUUCCCUACCGUGUUUGAUAAAUGUUGUCCAGAUACCAUUGUCAAGAAUAUGUUGUCCAAAAU